rnacentral:rRNA from 1 species
AUGGGGAUCAACAUAGUUGAAUGUUUCACGCAAGCUCUUGCAACAGGGAAGAGAAGGGUGAGAGAGCUGUUCGAUGUUGAAAUCUCAAGCCGAAACAACAUGAAGAUUCUUGAAGGGGUUGCAGAGCUAGCAGGACAAUGUUUGAGUAUGGAGAUGGGUAGACGCCCUGACAUGAUAGAUGUGGCAGAACGUCUUCGGGCGCUUAGGAAAACUCAAGCUCAAGGAAAACAAACACCAGCUAUUUUUUCUUGGGGGUGGAGGAACAAGCCAGCAGCUCAGAACAACUGGCAAUCCUCUAGCUCAGUCACGCCACAAUCUUUGCCAUCCAACUUGUGCCGCCAUUUCUCACUCAGGGAGGUGAAAUCCGCGACAAGAGAUUUUGAUGAGUCACACCUUGUUGGUUGGGGUGGAUCUGGUACAGUUUACUAUGGAGUGAUUGAUGGUGGGGCAACCAAGGUGGCUAUCAAACGUGACAAAUUUGUGCAGGAUGUGAGUAAGUUCCAGACAGAGAUAGCGAUGAUGGCAAAGCUGCGCCACCAUCAUCUCGUAUCAUUGGUCGGUUACUGCAAAGAGAAAAACGAGAUGAUACUGAUCUACGACUACAUGGCUCGUGGCACCCUGCGUAGGAACCUUUACGCUAACUACACCGAGGAGCCGCCGCUUACUUGGAGGCAGCGUCUAGAUGUCUGCAUUGGUGCUGCUCGUGCCUUGCAUUACCUUCACGAGUGUUCCAUCAUCCCUAAUGAUGUGUCGACGACGAACAUUCUCCUAGAUGAGAGAUUGGUCGGCAAGUUUUCAAGUACAGUCUCACAGCCACAGGAUAGCACGGAUGUGACCACGCAGCCUGUGGGACGUAUCGGUUAUAUCGAUCCUGAAUUUCUCUGCACUGGGCAACUAACAGAGAAAUCCAAUGUGUAUUCUUUUGGUGUCGUACUGUUUGAGGUUUUGUGUGCUCGGGCUGCUUAUGAUCAUAGUCUUCCAAGAAGACAAGUUCACUUGGUAGAAUGCGCCCUUAGUUGCCAGAAGAAGGGCAUCCUUGAUCUGAUUGUCGAUCCCUAUCUUGAAGGAAAGAUUGCUCCGGGGUGCUUGAAGAAGUUUGUGGAGAUUGCUGAGAAAUGUGUUAGUGAUCGUGGUAUCGAUCGCCCUACAAUGCAAGAAGUGUUUGAGAACCUGGAGUUGUGUCUUGCAGAACAAACCGGAAGCCUUGGUGAUGAGAUGCUGUCUGAAGAUGACACUAAUGUCCAUUCAAGGAGAGAACGUCAGCUGGACCUAGAGACGUGCCUUGCAGUAGACGAUGGCAUGAAAUGGGUUUUUGAUAGUGGUGGUGUGGAUUCCGAUUCCGAAUUGCUAAUGCCACGAUGA